rnacentral:lncRNA from 1 species
AAAAUGACUCAGGACACAUUUCUCAGAACAUGUCCUGGUUAAGCAAGGUAUGAUUGCUUUUCAUUCUUGUGAGUAUCAUCCAGACACAUAUAUUGAUAUAUAGUUUUGACAUUUAAUAAUAGUUGAGAGGCUACAGUCUUCACAGCACCCUCUACUUUUCAGCAUCCAGAAUUUACCCUUUUUUUGUACACUCAGUUCCUCCUAUGUUGAUAGCCCAGCCAACAUAUAUCAGCUCUUGCAUAUGGGUGGCAUGGACUCAAGAGACGAUCUGAGAGGAGAGAAUCAAAGAGGUAGAGGGAAGGAAAGAAAGCCUACUUUGGUCUAUGUAGUAAAGGCAGUUGGUCAAAGAGAGGAGAAAAAAAUGCCUAGACAGCAGCUGGUGAGAGAGUUAAAUUUUGAGUUGCUUGGCAGAAAAUUGGGGGCUGUAUCAGUCAGGACAGGCAGCAUCAUGCUGCAGUAAUGACAAACCCAACAAUAACAUCUCAGUGGCAAGUACCAUGAGAGGCUGCUUUUUCACUUGUUGUUACAUACACAUGAUGGUGUUCUUUCCAGAGAUGGCUGGUCUUCUGAGUCAUUUGUCAUUCUCCUUCUAGGAUGCAGGCUGAGGAGCAGCCACAAGUGAAGUGUUGCCUGUCACCUCAGCAGUGGAAAAAAGAGGGCACUUCCUCUUUUUUCAGGGACUACUCUCAUUUCUCCUGCUGGAUGUGACCAUGUUACCCUGUGGGUGACUCAGACCACCUUUGCUCCCUUCUCAGUGGCCAAACCCCAUUAUAUGACCACCAAUGAGUUGGAUAGGGCAGGGCUGUAAUGCUCCCAUAGGUAACAGGGCUUUCAAUCAAGGAAGAAUCAUGCCUUCUGCUUUAGGGUGGAAGGGAAUGUGAUCUCCUAACACUCAUAGUAGAUUAUGAGCACACAUCCUCAUGUGAAAAUACUGUGGGCACUGUGCAUAAAAUAAGAUUUGUUUAAUUAUCUCUGGUGGUGGCAGUUCCUUCCUCAAAGUCAUAUUUGUCCUCACAUCAACUGGGCUUCACACCUCCCAGAGUCACAGGGCUGGACAGGGUCUUCCUCACCUGAAGCAAUUCAUUUUGAGAUGUAUUUUCUCCCAUUCUGUAGGUUCCCUGUUCAGUCUGAUGCUAGUUUCUUUCGCUGUGCAGAAGUCUUUUAGUUCAAUUAGAUCCCAUUUGUCAAUUUUGGCUUCUGUUGCCAUUGUUUUUGGUGUUUUAGUCAUGAGGUCUUUGCCCAUGCCUAUGAUGUCCUAAAUGGUAUUGCCUAGGUUUUCUUCCAGGGUUUUUACAGUUUUAGGUCUUCCGUUUAAGUCUUUAAUCCAUCUUGAGUUAAUUUUUGUAUAAGGUAUACAAAUUUUUGUAUAAGGUAUAAUUUUGUAUAAGGAAGGGAUCCAGUUUCAGUUUUCUGCAUAUGGCACACCGCCACCAGCCCUCCCAACAGACGGGGCCUGGUCAAGACGACAGCCACUGAAAGCCACUCUCAGCAUGGAGCAGGGAGGCCUUGGGGUCGAAUUACCCUGGGAUUGAAUUACUAGAAGCACACUCAAAAUGAAGAAAGUUGCUUCUAAAAAUAGGAAAAAGAAACCCACACGGAUGAAAGUCAAAGAGGAGAAAAAGCAGAACAAAAACCAUUUGGCUUUACAAACAUCCACACAAUUUUAAAGUAGGGUUCCAUCCUGUCCCUCUGGAACAACAACGGCUAUGACGAAAAAGCAGCCAGGUUCUCUUUUCCUACAAGACCUGCUUUUUCAACUUCUUGGUGAAAUGUGAUGUAGCAGCAGAGAGGCCCAGCUUGCACCCUGAGAUCACAGGAGCGCUUGCGGGUGGCUUCAUCUUUAACCCCUUGAGGCCACCAAACAUCCAUUACCUGGCCAGGCAGAGCUGAAGACGACCCUCACGGGGCUCUAACCUGAGCCCAUAGCAAACUGUUUUCCCUGGAUCUGGGACAGAAUCCCUUCAGAAGCCCACUCAUGGGCAAGGCAGCUUCGAGUGGACUUGCAGCUGUUGAGAACUGACCUCCCAGUGGGAGCUCGGGCCUUGAUUCCCCACUGACUCCUCAAAGUGUCUCCCAGAGCCUAAACUGUCUCCCAGAGCCUGUCUCCCAGAGCCUAAACUGUCUCUCAGAGCCUAAACUGUCUUUCAGAGCCUGUCUCCCAGAGCCUGUCUCCCAGAGCCUAAACUGUCUCCCAGAGCCUAAACUGUCUCCCAGAGCCUGUCUCCCAGAGCCUAAACUGUCUCCCAGAGCCUGUUUCCCAGAGCCUAAACUGUCUCCCAGAGCCUGUCUCCCAGAGCCUAAACUGUCUCUCAGAGCCUAAACUGUCUUUCAGAGCCUGUCUCCCAGAGCCUAAACUGUCUUUCAAAGCCUAAACUGUCUUUCAGAGCCUGUCUCCCAAAGUCUGUCUCCCAGAGCCUGUCUCCCAGAGCCUGUCUCCCAGAGCCUAAACUGUCUUUCAAAGCCUAAACUGUCUUUCAGAGCCUGUCUCCCAAAGUCUGUCUCCCAGAGCCUGUCUCCCAGAGCCUAACUGUCUCCCAGAGCCUGUCUCCCAGAGCCUAAACUGUCUCCCAGAGCCUAACUGCCUCCCAGAGCCUAAACUGUCAGCUCUGCAGGGUCCUAUUCCCUGCCACCUUCGAAGCCAUCUCAGCACGACUCACCUGCUGAGUGGCAGGCAGGGCGAAUGGUCCCCUACUCACCUUUGCUGGCUUUUCAUUGACAAAUUGCCUUUGUCCAUACAAGAAAUGAAUUCUCAAGAUAUAUCUUAAAUGCCCCCUGGUUGUGAACAUGGCUGAGGGUGCUAUGUAAUAAUAAGUAGUUUUUGUCUUCAAAUAAUAAUUCUAGCAUAUGAUCAAAAGCAAAUGCAUCAAGCUUUGUAACAGGCAACAGCCCCAGCUCGGGGGUUUGGGAUGCCUUGACCAGCAGCCUGCAAACCUGGCUUCAUGGUGAGGAAAGGCGUUGCGAUCCUUUUCUAGGGCUGGGGAAUCUUAGCAGAUCCUGAGAGCUUCAUUUCAUCUGCGGACUCCAACAGAAGCAUUUUGCUUAUUUUGAUUUGGGGAAUACAAAGGGUUUUAAAAAUCAUUUUAAUUUUGACACUUAACUGGGAUAAGAACAAAGAAACCCUCUUAGAAAAAGAAAGGAGAUUUUUCACUUGAAAUAAACCACCCUAACUGUCUGAUGCUCUCAUCAGCUCCUGCCAGGACUCUAGUGGGUGACUGAGGCCGCCUUUCACCCUAAUGAGUCCAUCCAUCCUGAUGACGUCACCACGAGAAGACACCUCACAUCCACCUGCAUCAACACCCAUCAAGGGCGGGUGGAAACUCAGUGAACAUCUUCUCUCCCACAGGGCUCCCCGAGUGUCACAGCCGCUGACAGCCUGCUCUGUGUGGCCCCAAGGACCUCACCCAGCCGGCCACGCUCCCCGUGGCACAGUGGCCCUCCUCCGCUUCUCUCCGAAUGAUGUGAAGCAAAUGUUACUGGAGAGCCUUCUUUCUGCCCUCUGGAGCGAUUCUUCUUAAAGUGAGCUCCCUAGAGCACUGCCCUGUCCCCCAGAUGUGCCCUGGAGCUCUGAUGCCCAAAUCCAAUGCUGGAGCCCACAUGCCAGGCGUGGGAAUGCCAAAGGACACGAAGCCAGGGGAAGUAUGCUCAGAAAAUGUUCAUAAUGUAAAAAGUCUUCAUUUCAUGCCUAAAUUGUCUGUUAGAAUUAAAUGUAAGCUCAUAUCAAAUUUAGCACAAAUGUAUAGGCCUAAUUAUUUUUAGUUUAAUGUAGAGAUUAUGUAGAAUUUUGUAACUCAACUAGUUUGGGAACCACUUGAAAGGAUACAGCAACAACAGGCCAAUUAAACAGGAAAUUCUUGUCCUCUUCAAAGAGGAGAAGAUGAGAACAGAGACUAAGAAGGAUAAAGGAGAGAAUAAGACCAGGAAAUACUUCCCAGAAAGAGGAGGCAGGAUUUCGCGUUCAACAGAUGAGAAAGAGGACAGAGAAGAGCAGAAAACUAUUAAAAGGUAGGAUUCUGAUUCGAUGGGCAGAAAUGAUUUUUACAAUGAGAAAAGUUGCCCAUAAUUCUUGACUGGCAAUGUAUUUUACAAUGCUGUAAGCAUU